rnacentral:rRNA from 2 species
GGAAUCUUCCGCAAUGGACGAAAGUCUGACGGAGCAACGCCGCGUGAGUGAUGAAGGUUUUCGGAUCGUAAAGCUCUGUUGUUAGGGAAGAACAAGUGCCGUUCAAAUAGGGCGGCACCUUGACGGUACCUAACCAGAAAGCCACGGCUAACUACGUGCCAGCAGCCGCGGUAAUACGUAGGUGGCAAGCGUUGUCCGGAAUUAUUGGGCGUAAAGGGCUCGCAGGCGGUUUCUUAAGUCUGAUGUGAAAGCCCCCGGCUCAACCGGGGAGGGUCAUUGGAAACUGGGGAACUUGAGUGCAGAAGAGGAGAGUGGAAUUCCACGUGUAGCGGUGAAAUGCGUAGAGAUGUGGAGGAACACCAGUGGCGAAGGCGACUCUCUGGUCUGUAACUGACGCUGAGGAGCGAAAGCGUGGGGAGCGAACAGGAUUAGAUACCCUGGUAGUCCACGCCGUAAACGAUGAGUGCUAAGUGUUAGGGGGUUUCCGCCCCUUAGUGCUGCAGCUAACGCAUUAAGCACUCCGCCUGGGGAGUACGGUCGCAAGACUGAAACUCAAAGGAAUUGACGGGGGCCCGCACAAGCGGUGGAGCAUGUGGUUUAAUUCGAAGCAACGCGAAGAACCUUACCAGGUCUUGACAUCCUCUGACAAUCCUAGAGAUAGGACGUCCCCUUCGGGGGCAGAGUGACAGGUGGUGCAUGGUUGUCGUCAGCUCGUGUCGUGAGAUGUUGGGUUAAGUCCCGCAACGAGCGCAACCCUUGAUCUUAGUUGCCAGCAUUCAGUUGGGCACUCUAAGGUGACUGCCGGUGACAAACCGGAGGAAGGUGGGGAUGACGUCAAAUCAUCAUGCCCCUUAUGACCUGGGCUACACACGUGCUACAAUGGGCAGAACAAAGGGCAGCGAAACCGCGAGGUUAAGCCAAUCCCACAAAUCUGUUCUCAGUUCGGAUCGCAGUCUGCAACUCGACUGCGUGAAGCUGGAAUCGCUAGUAAUCGCGGAUCAGCAU